rnacentral:snRNA from 1 species
AUACUCUGGUUUCUCUUCAAAUAGUAUAAAUCUUUUGCCUUUUACUAGAGAUUACCAUAAAGAGGAAGAGUUAUGAGGUUUUUUUUUUUAGGGUUUUUAAAAAUA